GACGCGGUGGCCUAAUGGUUAGCGCGUUGGACUCCGGAUCUAGUGGUCCGGGUUCGAGCGCUGUUCUGGGUCG